rnacentral:misc_RNA from 1 species
GAGAAUAGGACUUGGCAGAGCAGUUGGCUUCAUGCAUUCUUCGUUGAUGUCCUUCCAUGCAUUUGCGCAAAUUUUGAGAAUCUCUUCCACAGCCUUCUUUUCUAAAACAUCAUGUUCUUUCAUGUAGCACUCUACCGAUGAAGCAGAGUCUCCUCUCUUUUGCUCAGCCUGGUGGGAUACUAUGUCGUUCUCAAGACGCCCAAGUACCUUGAGAGCUUUGACAAUUUUUGGGUUACUUUGAAGCCACUGAUAUUCCUUGAUCCCAGCAAUCUUCUCCAUUCCAAUAAAGCCUGCUGCUACAA